rnacentral:rRNA from 1 species
GCCAGCCCGCUCAGAAACUCAAAGGAAUUGACGGGGGCCCGCACAAGCGGUGGAGCAUGUGGUUUAAUUCGAUGAUACGCGAGGAACCUUACCUGGGCUCAAAUGUAUGUUGACGUAUUCUGAAAGGGAUACUUCUUCGGACAAUAUACAAGGUGCUGCAUGGUUGUCGUCAGCUCGUGCCGUGAGGUGUCGGGUUAAGUCCCAUAACGAGCGCAACCCCUAUCAUUAGUUGCCAUCAGGUCAAGCUGGGGACUCUAAUGAAACUGCCUACGCAAGUAGUGAGGAAGGUGGGGAUGACGUCAAAUCAGCACGGCCCUUACGUCCAGGGCUACACACGUGCUACAAUGGCCGGUACAAAGGGCAGCUACCUGGUGACAGGAUGCUAAUCUCAAAAGCCGGUCUCAGUUCGGAUCGGAGUCUGCAACCCGACUCCGUGAAGCUGGAUUCGCUAGUAAUCGCGCAUCAGCCACGGCGCGGUGAAUACGUUCCCGGGCCUU